rnacentral:rRNA from 1 species
GCAUAAUCUCUGAGGAGAAAAGCAGGGGUCGCAAGACCUUGCGCUUUUGGAGCGGCCGAUGUCUGAUUAGCUAGUUGGUGAGGUAAAGGCUUACCAAGGCUUCGAUCAGUAGCUGGUCUGAGAGGACGACCAGCCACACUGGGACUGAGACACGGCCCAGACUCCUACGGGAGGCAGCAGUGGGGAAUUUUGGACAAUGGGGGAAACCCUGAUCCAGCCAUGCCGCGUGAGUGAAGAAGGCCUUCGGGUUGUAAAGCUCUUUCAGCCGGAACGAAAAGGUUACGGUUAAUACCCGUGACUAAUGACGGUACCGGAAGAAGAAG